rnacentral:rRNA from 1 species
AUGAAGAACCACACGGGCCCUGGGCCGGAUGGUUGGCCGGUGGAGUUCUUCAAACGGUUUUGGCCGUCGCUCAAGGACUUGUUCCUUGCGAUCCUCAAUGGGUUUGCCCUAGGUACGGUGGACCUGGCAAGGCUCAACUACGGUGCUAUCUGCUUGAUCCCCAAGGUUAAAGGGGCUGAUACUAUUAAGCAGUUCCGGCCGAUCACGCUCAUUAACGUCCCUUUCAAGAUAUGCGCGAAAGCCUACGCAUCCAGGUUAGCACCGGUCGCUCAACGUGUUAUUAGCAAAAGCCAGACCGCUUUCCUGAAAAACAGGAACAUUCUGGAGGGGCCUAUAGCUCUCACAGAGGUAAUUCAUGAGGUGAAGCGUACGCAUGGACAGGGUGUCAUUCUCAAACUCGAUUUUGAGAAAGCGUACGACCGAGUAAACUGGGAGUUUAUUCGGGAGGUCCUCCUCAAAAAGGGUUUUGAGGCAGGGUUUGUUCACCAGAUCAUGUACCUGAUCUCGAGUGGCAACACUUCGGUCAUAGUCAAUGGUGACAUGGGCAAAUUCUUCCGCAACCGGAAAGGACUGCGACAAGGCGACCCCAUUUCCCCCCUAGUUUUUAAUUUUGUGGCGGACGCCUUGGCAGCUAUGUUGUCCAAAGCAAGGGAGGCUGGACACAUUACAGGGCUGGUGCCACACCUCAUCCCAGGUGGGGUGACGCACCUCCAAUACGCUGACGACACUCUGUUGCUCUUCAAUCCGGACGACCAUAGCAUUCCCUCGAUUAAGUUACUGCUACUAGCUUUUGAGCUCCUCUCCGGACUCAAGAUCAACUUUCAUAAAAGCGAGGUCUUCACCAUGGGGCUUGACGGCCUGCAAAGCACUCGUGUCGCCAACCUGCUUAAUUGUAAGCUGGGGAGCUUUCCAAUUAAGUACCUUGGGCUCCCUAUAUCGCACCGCAAACUCUCUAUAGUAGAGUGGGAGCCUCUUUACGGGAAAGUGGCCAACAGAGUAAGUCCGUGGCGUGGGAGAUUCCUGUCGUCUGCCGCUAGGCUCAUCCUGACGAACUCGAGUUAA